ACUCAAAUGAAUAGACGGGGGCUCACACAAGCGGUGGAGCAUGUGGCUUAAUUCGAAGCAACGCGAAGAACCUUACCUGGGUUUGACAUGCACGGAUUAACGCGCUGAAAGGCGCGCCACACCCGCAAGGGUGGAACGUGCACAGGUGCUGCAUGGCUGUCGUCAGCUCGUGCUGUGAAGUGUCGGGUUAAGUCCCUUAACGAGCGAAACCCCUGUCGCUAGUUGCCAACGGUUCGGCCGUGGACUCUAGCGAGACUGCCGGCGUCAAGUCGGAGGAAGGUGGGGACGACGUCAAGUCCUCAUGGCCUUUAUGCCCAGGGCUGCACACGUGCUACAAUGGCGGGUACAGAACGACGCAAAACCGUAAGGUGGAGCAAAUCGCCAAAAACCCGCCCCAGUUCGGAUUGUGGGCUGCAACCCGCCCACAUGAAGUUGGAAUCGCUAGUAAUCGGAGAUCAGCUACGCUCCGGUGAAUACGUUCCUGAGCCUUGCACACACCGCCCGU
rnacentral:rRNA from 1 species